rnacentral:rRNA from 1 species
GACGAACGCUGGCGGCGUGCUUAACACAUGCAAGUCGAACGGAAAUGCCCUGCUUUUUUGGGGUGCUCGAGUGGCGAACGGGUGAGUAACACGUGAGUAACCUGCCCUUGACUUUGGUAUAACUUCAGGAAACUGGGGCUAAUACCGGAUAGGAGCUCCUGCUGCAUGGUUGGGGUUGGAAAGUUUCGGCGGUUGGGGAUGGACUCGCGGCUUAUCAGCUUGUUGGUGGGGUAGUGGCUUACCAAGGCUUUGACGGGUAGCCGGCCUGAGAGGGUGACCGGCAACAUGGGGACUGAGAGACGGACCAGACUCCUACGGGAGGCAGCAGUGGGGAAUAUUGCACAAUGGGCGGAAGCCUGAUGCAGCAACGCCGCGUGCGGGAUGACGGCCUUCGGGUUGUAAACCGCUAUCGCCUGUGACGAAGCGUGAGUGACGGUAAUGGGUAAAGAAGCACCGGCUAACUACGUG